GACGAAAAAGGUAAACCCGGGGUAACUCGGGGGCGCAAAGUUAAAGGGUCCUGGAAUAGGAUAGCCUGACUGCCGGUC
rnacentral:ncRNA from 1 species